rnacentral:rRNA from 1 species
CAGCAGCCGCGGGAAUACCGAGGGUGCAAGCGUUAAUCGGAAUUACUGGGCGUAAAGCGCGCGUAGGUGGUUUGUUAAGUUGGAUGUGAAAGCCCCGGGCUCAACCUGGGAACUGCAUCCAAAACUGGCAAGCUAGAGUACGGUAGAGGGUGGUGGAAUUUCCUGUGUAGCGGUGAAAUGCGUAGAUAUAGGAAGGAACACCAGUGGCGAAGGCGACCACCUGGACUGAUACUGACACUGAGGUGCGAAAGCGUGGGGAGCAAACAGGAUUAGAUACCCCGGUAGUCCCUGUCUCUUAUCC